rnacentral:rRNA from 1 species
GACGAACGCUGGCGGCGUGCUUAACACAUGCAAGUCGAACGGUAAGGCCCUUCGGGGUACACGAGUGGCGAACGGGUGAGUAACACGUGGGUGAUCUGCCCUGCACUUCGGGAUAAGCCUGGGAAACUGGGUCUAAUACCGGAUAGGACUCCGGACUGCAUGGUCUGGGGUGGAAAGCUUUUGCGGUGUGGGAUGGGCCCGCGGCCUAUCAGCUUGUUGGUGGGGUGAUGGCCUACCAAGGCGACGACGGGUAGCCGGCCUGGGAGGGUGACCGGCCACACUGAGACUGAGAUACGGCCCAGACUCCUACGGGAGGCAGAAGGGGGGAAGAUUGCACAAUGGGCGCAAGCCUGAUGCAGCGACGCCGCGUGAGGGAUGACGGCCUUCGGGUUGUAAACCUCUUUCAGCAUCGACGAAGCGAAAGUGACGGUAGGUGCAGAAGAAGGACCGGCCAACUACGUGCCAGCCGCCGCCGUAA